GGGGAUAUAUUUUAAUGGUAGAGUAUAGCUUUUGCACAGCUAAGGUUAGGGGUUCGAUUCUCCUUAUCUCCA
rnacentral:tRNA from 1 species